rnacentral:rRNA from 1 species
GACGAAGGUGGCUAGCGUUGUUCGGUGUUACUGGGCUUAAAGCGUGUGUAGGCGGAAUUGUAAGCGUCUUGUGAAAUAUCUCAGCUUAACUGAGAAAUUGCUCGGCGAACUACUUUUCUUGAGGCAGGUAGGGGUGCAUGGAACUCUUGGUGGAGCGGUGGAAUGCGUAGAUAUCAAGAGGAACGCCAGUGGUGAAGACGGUGCACUGGGCCUGUCCUGACGCUGAGACACGAAAGCGUGGGGAGCAAACGGGAUUAGAUACCCCCGUA